ensembl:lncRNA
AUUGGUACUCGUUUAUGUCAUCCUUAGUACGACCGAAUUCUUUCUGUCUGUCCUGAGCUUUAUUAACCCCUGUAACUUUGCUGGUGUUUGCAGGGACGCUUCCCGCGGUGAAGGCGCGAGACUACGCGGCGAGACCGAGAGGAAGCGCUUAUCUCUGCGAAUCACACAGGACGAAGGACGCAAGUAUCAUCACUAUUGCAACCACAGUGGUGGAGGGCUGAAGAUGGAGAGAAACCAAUAUCAGCGGACUGAGAUAGAAGCAAAUACCGCGCUACAACAAGAACAGCAGCUGCUAAUGGAGAAGAAGGCCAUAAUAAUUCAGAGGGCUUGGCGUACUUUGUUGGAGCGCAAACAAGGCUGGCAGGAGGAGCCGAAGAACCUCAUAAAUCAUUUUGAGAUGGUGUCACAGGAAGACGCCCUUCCCACUAACCUUCCCCCUGGAGAGCUGGGUCAAAACCUCACACUGGUAGGCAACCUUAAUAGAGAGAGAGAGAGAGAGUGAGAGAGAGAGCGAGAGAGCGUGCAUGUGUCUAUGAGAGAUUCAUCUUGCAGACUUGGACUGGGGGAUGAAGAUGCUGAGCUGAGUGUUUGUUGGCAUGAUGCCCAGAUCUGUAAUUAGCAGCUAAUUAGAUUAAUUUGCUAAGUAGGUUGAUUGAUUAAUGAAGUAGUCUGAGGAGUGCAGCAUCCUUGUUCCGUCUGUCCUUAGGGCCCACUGUGAAUUAAGCACCACUCACUGACCCACACACACACACUAACAUACGACAAGACUUACAGUAUAUAUUAACUGAGGUCAGAGUUUGUAGUUUUCUGUUUCAUCUUCUCAAAUGAGGAUGGUGUGCAGGAUUGUGAGCAGCAUUGGUUCAUUUCUGUGGCGGUGUAAGUAGAAUCUUGCUUUUAUUCCUCACAUUACCUCCAUCCUGCUCUUCCCAGAGGCAUGGUUACCCUCUGAAAGCUGUAGAUCAAUGAAGUAAGGAUGGAAAGGGAUUCAUUGAGUGCUGAAUAUAUUAUUUGAAUAUUCUGCAUGUUCUCUAAGCUUUUUAUGGACUGAAUGAAAUCAAGUUGAACCUUCAGAGUGAG